GAUGAACGUUGGCGGUGUGCCUAAUACAUGCAAGUCGAACGGAGAUUGUAGCAAUACGGUCUUAGUGGCGAACGGGUGAGUAACGCGUUGGUGAUCUGCCUCGAAGUGUGGAAUAACGAUUCGAAAGAAUCGCUAAUACCGCAUAGUCUCUCUUUUUCCAGAAAUUUGAGAGUAAAGGAUUUAUUCGCUUUGAGAGGAGCCUGCGUCCCAUCAGCUAGUUGGUAAGGUAAUGGCCUACCAAGGCGAUGACGGGUAGGGGACCUGAGAGGGUGGCCCCCCACAAUGGAACUGAAACACGGUCCAUACACCUACGGGUGGCAGCAGUGGGGAAUUUUGGACAAUGGGCGCAAGCCUGAUCCAGCCAUGCCGCGUGAGUGAAGAAGGCCUUCGGGUUGUAAAGCUCUUUCGGCCGGGAAGAAAUCGUAUGGGCUAAUACCCUGUGCGGAUGACGGUACCGGCAUAAGAAGCACCGGCUAACUACGUG
rnacentral:rRNA from 1 species